CCCUAGUAUUAUUAAGGAGUUAUAUUAGUAUAUAUACUGAAAAUAAAAAUUUUUGGCGGUUAAUUAUUUUUUAGAGGAGCUUGCUAAUUUAUAAGAAUUUACUCUUUAUAUUUUAAUUAUAAUAAGUUUAUUCAUCUCCGUUAUUAAAUAGUUAUUAAUAAAAGUUAUUUUUGUAUUUCAGGUCAAGAUGUAGCAUUAAUACUUAUUAGUUAGCUACAUUUUUGAAUAAAUGGAUUUUUGAUUAAUAAAUUUAAAAGGAAAUUGAAUUUGAUUGUAAUAUUUAUUAGAAAAUUGAUAUGAAUUAAUUUAAUUAAUGUA
rnacentral:rRNA from 1 species